AACAAGAGCUUUGCAUGCAUGCAUAUUUCAUCUGUUGCCAGGUGUCAGCUCUGUUCCUUGCUUAAUGACAAUGAGGAAUCAUUCAUAAUUUACUAUUCUCAUUUGUAGCCCACAAGAAAGAAGAAAAAAAUCAUUAAUGAUAUGGUGUGUGCUGGGAUAUUGCUUUAGGUUCCUGGGACCUCUUGCAACAUUGGCCAAAGAUUAGUAAGCAAUGCUCGGUGAGCUGAGGAGAUAACGCUUAAGGGAAAAGAGUAUUUAUUUAUUUCUGGCAAUGUGCCAGGCACCUGAAUGGAUACUUUCACAUAUAUUUUCUCAUUUGGAAGAGCCAAGAGAGAAAUAAGAAAGAGUUCUCUCAUCCAAGGUCAACUAUAGGCAAAAUGAGCUUUCCCUAGCAACCUGCCUUGGAUAAAAAGACACCAGAAAUUUCUCAAAGGCCAGUGGUUCAUAUGGUAAGUAUGAUGAGUACUCUACGUGAUUCCCUUGGUUUCCAUUUCUAGUUAGACAGCAUCUAGAUGGCUUUCUUCAAUUUAUCAUACAGGACAAACACAGGGGCUCCAUGCAGCCCCUAAGAAUUUUGAAUAAAGUGCCUAGAAAAAGGCUUAUGUGCCUGCAUUUUUCUUUUUAAAGAACUUAUUAUUUAUUUAUUUACUUAUUUAUUGGCUGCAUUGGGUCUUCGUUGCUGCACGUGGGCUGUCUCUAGUUGCAGCAAGCAGGGGCUACUCUUUGUUGCCGUGCACGGGCUUCUCAUUACGGUGGCUUCUCUUGUUGCAGAGCACAGUCUGUAGGCGCAUGGCCGUCAGUAGUUGUGGCACGCGGGCUCAGUAGUUGUGGCUCACAAGCUCUAGAGCACAGGCUCAGUAGUUGUGGCGCACGGGCUUAGUUGCUCUGUGGCAUGUGGGAUCUUCCUGGACCAGGGCUCGAACCCAUGUCCCCUGUAUUGGCAGGCAGAUUCUUAACCACUGCACCACCAGGGAUGUCCCCGCCUGCAUUUCUGAAAAUCUUCCUCCAGCAUUCAAGGGCCCCAGGAGACACAACAUCAACUCCUUUGUGCCCACAUUACAACAUCAACAAUUGGCUCACAGUAUCACGGGGGUAGGAAACCACCUAGGCUUUUAAAUUCUGCUGCCUUGGCAGAUUUUCCAACAUCAGAUACAAAUUGGGUUCUGGGAAAAUCUGAUGAGGGGAAGAAGAAGAGUGAAGUGGCUACAGCUGUUGCACGAAGGACCAAAAUACCUUGGUGCUGUGUGUGCUUGUAUUCCUCCUAAGAACCUCUGCUUGUAGUUAUCCUUAAAGCAAAGUGAAGGGCUCAAGUAAGGAAACAUCUGUUGACACUUGUCAUAGUGCCCUUCCAGAAGGAACAUACUCCUACUCUUUGGGAAGAUGGAAUAUACAGUCCACUCUGCCUUUGUAGAAGGAGUUAGCAGUAACCUCUCUGUUCCCAUGCUGCCGCUUCGCCCACUUGAUCGGACCACUGCAGCCUUGGAGAUGGCAGCGGUGAUACUGCAGUCAAGAAACCCCUUGUAAAGUAGAUGACCUUUCAAGUUUUAACCUUUUUUUUUUUCCGGCCGUGCUGUGUGGCAUGCGGGAUGUUAGUUCUACGUCCAGAGAUCGAACCUGUGUCCCCUGCAGUGGAAGCACGGACUCUUAACCACUGAACCGCCAGGGAAGUCCCAACUUUUAACCUUUUUUUAUUCCAGUUUUAUUGAGACAUAAUUGACAUAAGGCACUGUAUAAGUUUAAGGUGUACAACAUAAUUAUUUGACUUAUAUACAUUAUGAAAAGAUUAUCACAAGUUUAGCAAACAUCCAUC